GCCAGAAACACAUUGUCAUCUUUGCCUUGCGUCGCAUCCUUCGAGGUGAGGAGCUCACCUAUGACCACAAGUUUCCCAUCGAGGAUGCCAGCAACAAGCUGCCCUGCAACUGUGGCGCCAAGCGCUGCCGUCGCUUCCUUAACUGAGGCCAUGGCUGCCCCGGAUUCCUCACGUGCCCGCUGCCAUCUCACCCUGGCCUGUGGCUCCCUAUUCUCAGUAUCUCACUCCUACUUUCCUGUUCAUGGUGGAUUUGGGCAUGUAAUGGGGCAGGAGCCCUGCCUUCACCCCUCCUGCCCACCCAGCCAUUGCCUCCUUCCUCUUUCCCUGGGGACCCAGGAUGUAGAUAUUGUACAAAGGUUUCUAAAUCCCUUCUUUUCUAUGCACUUUUUUAUUUAAGAGGGCAGGGUCCCAGGUGGGAAUCCCCCCACAAUAAAGUCUGUCAACGUUUGGAAAAAAAAAAAAA
rnacentral:lncRNA from 1 species